UACAGAGGGUGCGAGCGUUAAUCGGAAUUACUGGGCGUAAAGCGCACGUAGGUGGCGACGUAAGUCGGGUGUGAAAGCCCCGGGCUCAACCUGGGAAUUGCAUUCGAGACUGCAUUGCUGGAGUACGGAAGAGGAGGGCGGAAUUCCCGGUGUAGCGGUGAAAUGCGCAGAUAUCAGGAGGAACACCGGUGGCGAAGGCGGUUACCUGGAGCUUUGCUGACGCUGAUGCGCGAAAGCGUGGGGAGCGAUCCGG
rnacentral:rRNA from 1 species